UCUUGAGUAAAAAAAAAAAUAUAGUACAUCGAUACGGCUACGCGGUGAAAGUAGUAUUACAUUUUCAAAGAGGCUUACAUAUUAUGCAUUUACUUUACUUAACGCUGGACGUACGAGUAGUGCAAAAUUUAAGUGUUUUAAUAAAAACGUAACUUGUUUAUUAAUAAUUAUUAUGUUAAUUGUAGCAACACGUUAAACAGUCAUACCGAGAAGAACGGUUCCAUUUUUUCCCGUAGUAUAAUGCCGAUUGACUACGGUAAGACCAGAAUUGCACAGCGUCUGUGUUCUCCAAAACGUAAACAUCUUUAAUUUAAUCGAUUCCUUUUUUUUAAUGUUUCCGUUUAGUUCAUCAAACAGUUGAAUUUUUUUUUUUAAUGUAUCACAUCGCUUCUAAGGCUCUAAUUAAAUUAUCGAUUCGAUAGUCGGUAACGGACGAGUUAAAUUAAAAUACAAAUACAUAAAUGUAUUUUUCUUUAAUGCCAACAAAAAUCUAGAGAAAGUAAAAACGUCGAGAUUAAUAAGAAUGACUAUAAUUAAUAAUUAUUAUUAUUGCACAUUGCACAAUUAGGGUCAAUUCAAACUUAUUUUUAAAUUUCCUUUUUUAUCAUUCACCGUAGAAUUGAUAACGAUCAUACGGACCGGUCGUUAUCACGGACCCGUUCCGGUCAACCACCGCGGUUACCACGAUCCGUGACCGUAACCGCGGUAUCCUAGUACCGCAAAGGUCUCGCGAGUGGUUUUGAGAUCAGUUUCUUCCACGGAUUUGUUCCAUUGCUUUCGAACAUAACCUCACAUUCUACGUCCCACCGACUGGCUACGUUUCACAUUUGGCCGCAUCGCAUUAUUCGGCGUCCGUCCAUGGCGUCCGGCACACAGUCAAUCGUUCUCGAACUGCAUUGAAGCGUCCUCGUUUCUAGAUUUGUUCUACCUUUGAUUCUUUUAGCCCCAUACUAUGCGGGCUAAGUGGCGUAAGAAGCGUAUGCGCAGGUUGAAGCGCAAGAGGAGGAAGAUGCGUGCAAGGUCCAAGUGAAAACCUCAUGGCCGCGCCUCCCCGGACCAAACAUAUUGUCAUGUUUUGGUAAAAAUAUAACGAUAUUGUGACUAUAUUUUCUAUUGAUUAUCAUUAAAAACUUAUUUUAUAACACCUCAA